GACGAACGCUGGCGGCGUGCCUAAUACAUGCAAGUCGAGCGCAGGAAACCGUUCCGAACCCUCCGGGGGGACGAACGGUGGAAUGAGCGGCGGACGGGUGAGUAACACGUAAAGAACCUGCCCAUAGGUCUGGGAUAACCACGAGAAAUCGGGGCUAAUACCGGAUGUGUCAUCGGACCGCAUGGUCCGCUGAUGAAAGGCGCUUCGGCGUCGCACAUGGAUGGCUUUGCGGUGCAUUAGCUAGUUGGUGGGGUAAUGGCCCACCAAGGCGACGAUGCAUAGCCGACCUGAGAGGGUGAUCGGCCACACUGGGACUGAGACACGGCCCAGACUCCUACGGGAGGCAGCAGUAGGGAAUCUUCCACAAUGGACGAAAGUCUGAUGGAGCAACGCCGCGUGAACGAUGAAGGCUUUCGGGUCGUAAAGUUCUGUUAUAAGGGAAGAACAAGUGCCGCAGGCAAUGGCGGCACCUUGACGGUACCUUGCGAGAAAGCCACGGCUAACUACGUGCCAGCAGCCGCCGUAA
rnacentral:rRNA from 1 species